UCUGUGUAGCUCAAUGGUACAGUAUGUGCUUAGCGUGCACAAGGCACUGGGUUCAAUCCCCGGCACCAAAA
rnacentral:tRNA from 1 species